UCUGUGAAUCGUUACAUCAAAUGAAAGUAGUUUGUAAUACAAAGUGAUAUUACGACAAAAUCAGACGGGAUGAAACAGAAA
rnacentral:ncRNA from 1 species